UAUGUGCAGAUGUGGACUCAGAG
rnacentral:piRNA from 1 species